CGCAACGGCUCUAAUUAGAAUCGGAAUUGGUUAGUAGUCUAAGAUAAUUUGAACGUUGCUGCCCAGCCUUGCAUGAAGUUGUUAUGUGUUCUUGAUGGUUUUUCGUGUUAUGUGUUGCAUGAGUAUGUUGAUCACUUGUAUAUAAUAAUCUUAGGUUUAAUUUUCAGUAGAUUAUUUGUUAGAAUUAAUCAAUCUUAAACCCCCAAUAUUUCGAUGUAUAUAUGUGAAUACUUGUUUAUAAGUUGUUUGAUUUCUCUUCUUUCGAUCGCCCUUUGGUUUCCCCGGCUAGAACGAUCCCUACUUGUCCAUAUUACUACGAUUGCAGGGUAAUUAAAUUGAAGUUGUUUGACCCCGGUUACGCGACACGUCAGGUAACAAGUAACAGUUCAUAGUAUACAAAGACAUAGCCUAAGCAAUUACCUUAAUCAAAAGCUCCAUACCUGCAACGCUAAGAAGCUUUGAGCUCCAACCAAUGAGCUUUGUAGAUAAAUCAUCCUUGAUAUAGGCAAAAGUAUCGGAUUUAGAUCUACCAACCAAAGUGGGAAUACUAAGGUACUUCUCAUGCUUUUCCACUAAUUGCACUCCCAAAGUAUCUGCCAAGGUCGGACUAGUUUUCUAAGAAACAUUACCACUGAACACCCCAUUACUUUUCUGCAGUUAAACGUUCUAACCAUAGGCUCUUUCAUAUAGAUUCAAUAUGUUUGAGCCCAGUGGGUAUUUUUGGUCCAAGACUCAGGGUACGUUUUGGAUAACAUUUGGGCCAGUACCUGUGGCCCUUUUUUAAUGCGAAACUCACGAAGGGUGGCGAAGUCUGGCAACACGCGAGUUGGAAUUGUGCAAGGAUUCUGAUACCUUGCGGGAUUCGAUGUCCUCGCGGGAUCCUUUGUUCUAGUUCAUGUAGGAUUCUACAGUGCAUGGCGAGGUAGAGUUGGAAAUGGACUGUAGUACCCGCGGGAUAGGAUCGCUUAGUGCUCGAGUUCGCGUACGACGUUACAGUGAUAUGAUGCGGGGCGGUGAGCGAGACCUAGGCGAAGUCUGUUUUGGACACGUGUUGCAUGGAUCGCGCGGCUCGCGAGCUGGUCGUUUCCUGGUGGAAUUCUAAUUGCUGAGUCCGAAUGGAUUUGUGAUUAGGUCUCUGCGAAUUGCUUGCGGAUCGCUAUAUAAGGGAGCUUGACACAACGAACAAGACACACAAUCAAUCAUACAAAACAACUGCAAAUCUUCGAGCAUCCUCGAAACCCUAAGUUCUAAGU
rnacentral:lncRNA from 1 species